CAGCCGCCGCGGUAAAACCAGCACCUCAAGUGGUCAGGAUGAUUAUUGGGCCUAAAGCAUCCGUAGCUCGUUUUGUAAGUUUUCGGUUAAAUCCAUGCGCUUAACGUAUGGGCUGCCGGGAAUACUGCAUAACUAGGAAGUGGGAGAGGUAGACGGUACUCGGUAGGAAGGGGUAAAAUCCUUUGAUCUAUUGAUGACCACCUGUGGCGAAGGCGGUCUACCAGAACACGUUCGACGGUGAGGGAUGAAAGCUGGGGGAGCAAACCGGAUUAGAUACCCGGGUAGUCCCAGCUGUAAACUAUGCAAACUCAGUGAUGCAUUGGCUUAUGGCCAAUGCAGUGCUGCAGGGAAGCCGUUAAGUUUGCCGCCUGGGAAGUACGUACGCAAGUAUGAAACUUAAAGGAAUUGGCGGGGGGAACACC
rnacentral:rRNA from 1 species